rnacentral:lncRNA from 1 species
UGAUUUUCAGCUCCCGGUGUUUGUGGCUAUAUAGACAAGCGCCACUUCGUGUUAGACAGACCCUUGGACUCCCGAGCUGAGCAAACUGAACUUCGCAUAUCUGGUUUCUCCCUUGCAUGACCGCAGGACGACUAGCAGUUGAUUCCUCGAAAGCCGACGACCCAAAGCGAUCGAGGGACCAUGCUGCAACUGUUGGACCAGAAAGAAAAAGAAGGAGAAAAAUCCUGCGACCGGUCUCCGUAAAUCAGAGCUCUCCGACCACCCAUGUACAUCCUGGGCAACGGGCAGGAACUUGGCAGCCAUCUGACAGGUUUGGAAAACAGAUUCUCCCUUAAAAGAAAACGCCGGCAAUAUGACGUUUCACGGAACAAAAGACCUUCGGAUCAACAGUUCAACGCGGCGUGCCUGUUCGUUUCGGCAACAUCGUCACCCCGAUUUCACGAAGGUAAACACAAAUAAAAACAUUGAUUGGC